GGCCCCGUAGCUCAGCUGGAUAGAGCAGCGGUUUCCUAAACCGGAGGUCGCAGGUUCAAAUCCUGCCGGGGUCACCA
rnacentral:tRNA from 1 species